rnacentral:rRNA from 1 species
UGGGGAAUUUUGGACAAUGGGCGAAAGCCUGAUCCAGCAAUGCCGCGUGUGUGAAGAAGGCCUUCGGGUUGUAAAGCACUUUUGUCCGGAAAGAAAUCCUUGGCUCUAAUACAGUCGGGGGAUGACGGUACCGGAAGAAUAAGCACCGGCUAACUACGCGCCAGCAGCCGCGGUAAUACGUAGGGUGCAAGCGUUAAUCGGAAUUACUGGGCGUAAAGCGUGCGCAGGCGGUUUGCUAAGACCGAUGUGAAAUCCCCGGGCUCAACCUGGGAACUGCAUUGGUGACUGGCAGGCUAGAGUAUGGCAGAGGGGGGUAGAAUUCCACGUGUAGCAGUGAAAUGCGUAGAGAUGUGGAGGAAUACCGAUGGCGAAGGCAGCCCCCUGGGCCAAUACUGACGCUCAUGCACGAAAGCGUGGGGAGCAAACAGGAUUAGAUACCCUGGUAGUCCACGCCCUAAACGAUGUCAACUAGUUGUUGGGGAUUCAUUUCCUUAGUAACGUAGCUAACGCGUGAAGUUGACCGCCUGGGGAGUACGGUCGCAAGAUUAAAACUCAAAGGAAUUGACGGGGUCAUAGCUG